rnacentral:rRNA from 1 species
GUGGAUUAGAUACCCUGGUAGUCCACACCGUAAACGAUGAUUACUAGAUUUUGGCCUUAUGGUCAGAGUCCAAGCGAAAGUGUUUAGUAAUCCACCUGGGGAGUACGUCCGCAAGGAUGAAACUCAAAGGAAUUGACGGGGGCCCGCACAAGCGGUGGAGCAUGUGGUUUAAUUCGAUGAUACGCGAGGAACCUUACCUGGGCUUGAAAGUUAGUGACCGUUCCUGAAAGGGGACUUUCCGCAAGGACACGAAACUAGGUGCUGCACGGCCGUCGUCAGCU